UACGUAGGGGGCAAGCGUUGUCCGGAUUUAUUGGGCGUAAAGAGCGUGUAGGCGGCCUGACAGGUCUGCUGUGAAAACUCGAGGCUCAACCUCGAGAUGUCGGCGGAAACCGUCUGGCUAGAGUCCGGAAGAGGAGAGUGGAAUUCCUGGUGUAGCGGUGAAAUGCGUAGAUAUCGGGAGGAACACCAGUGGCGAAGGCGACUACCUGGCCUGUUCUUGACGCUGAGGCGCGAAAGCUAGGGGAGCAAACGGG
rnacentral:rRNA from 1 species